rnacentral:rRNA from 1 species
UACAGAGGGUGCGAGCGUUGUUCGGAAUUAUUGGGCGUAAAGGGCGCGUAGGCGGCGCCACAAGUCACUUGUGAAAACUCUGGGCUCAACCCAGAGCCUGCAGGCGAAACUGUGGUGCUGGAGUAUGGGAGAGGUGCGUGGAAUUCCCGGUGUAGCGGUGAAAUGCGUAGAGAUCCGGAGGAACACCAAAGGCGAAGGCAGUGUCCUGGGGAGUACCUGACGCUCAGGUGCGAAAGCCAGGGGAGCGAACGGG